UCAGGCUAAAAUGUAGCAGGUCUUCUGCUUGUGCCUUCACCUCCAGCAUUUCACCUACUCCUUAGCUGCCCCCAGCAGCCAGCAUCCUGUGGCCCAGAGAGGCAAGUUCACCUGUCCAAGGUCACACAGCUAGAACUGGCAGAGCUGGGAUGCAAAUCAGGUGUGCCUGACCCCAGAACUCUAGAGAUUGUAGAUGAUGACAUUGGUUGACCAGAUCCUAGGGUGACUAGAAUCCAGAAGAAGAAUCCAAGGUGACGCUGUCACCUCCUGAGUGCCUGAGAUGAGGUCACGUCCUCAGCAGUAUUCCUGCGCUUUCACCGGGAGACAUCCCUGUUGAUGCUGCUGUUUUGUUUUCCUUUUAAUAUUUUCACUCAUGUUUCAGCUCGGCUUUUCUGUCCCGAGGCGCUUUAAUCACCAAGGGCCCUGUUCCAAACGUGCCAUGCAUAAAUAAUGCAGGAAAUAAAUAAUGCCUGCUGCUCCCCCAACAGAGCUGAGCCUGGGGCCAGGUGCGGUGGGGGACAUGGGGUGCUGGGAAGUGGCAGGGAUUUCCUGGGGUUUGAGCCCUGCUUUGCCUCCGUCCUGCUGCGUGACCUCUGACAGGCCCCUUAAGCUCUCUGUGUUUCAAUUUCCUAAUUUGCCAAAUGAGGAGGAAAGGUUCUUGGCUGUCCUUACAGAGAUGGCUAAAUCAAACAGUUCUGCCGAAAUGGUUGUGGAAAAGGGAGCAGGUGAGCCAGGCACGUGAGAGAGUGAUGGUGAUGGCUGUUCACUACCUGUGCAGUUUAAUUAUAUGACCUCUCAUCUCCUGCUCGCACCUUCCAGUGGGGAAGCACUAGGGGUCCUGGUUUACGGAGGCUCAGAGGGGAAGGGUCCAGCACAAUACUCCAGAGCUGGGAUCAUGGGCCACGCCUGUGUCUCUAGAGCCAGAACUGGGAGCAGGUGCCUAAGGCUGUUCUUCACAAGCCCAGCAGUUCCCUGGGGAGGAGAUUUUUCCUUUGAGCAGAAACCCAAAGACCUGCAAAGCUCCUGCCUGCUUAAGAGAUAAACAAGGUCUCGUCAGUUUGGAGUGGAAGGGGCCUGGUGCCUCUCUGGGCCCCACAGGUACAAACCAGAUGUCCUCAGAGUGCAGGGUGGGUGGGGGUGGGGGUGGUCUCAGAGGGAAGCAUCUGAAGCCACACCCACUGUGCCAAGAGCAAGGGCCCCCCAGGGCCUGGGGGUCAGAGGCAGGCAUGGGAUAGGAGAGGCCCUGGGGGAGUAUCCCUGCGGCAGUGUUGGACCUUGGAGUCAUCCAGCCACAUUUCCCUGUUAUCAGACUUGCAGACUCUGGAGGCUGGUGGGACCAAAUCCUGGCCUUGCCACUUCCCAGCUGUGACCUUGAGCAAGUGACCUAACCCUUCCGAGCUUCUCUUUUCUCAUGAAAACCUCUCUUGCCUUACGGGCUAGAGAGCGGGUGGAGGCUUGGAGCCAUGCCUGACAAGUAGCGAGCAUUCAAGGAAUUUCAGUGGUUAUUAAUGUUUGCAAAAGUGGAGUCUGAACGUCCUGCCAUCAUACAUGGAUGCAUCUGUCCACCCGCCCAUCUGUCUUUCCCUCUAUUGGCAAGUGCAUCCAUCCAUUCUUUAUUCUUUCAUCCAUUUUUUCAGUGAGCUUUCCCUGAACCUUGCCCAUGUUCUAGUUCUUAUCAGUGCUGACCACUGGGGUUCUGAGAUUAGAAACAAAAUCAAACAGAAUGAAAGCACUCAGCCCUUGUGCCCCCUGGGAGCUCAUAUUAGAGUUGUGGGAAUGGAGAUGGGUAUCAGAUCAGGGCCCUGUCAAGAACAAUUUGAGGACAGCAGAAGUGGGCACAGUGAAAGGAGCAUUUACUGCAUGGGGACCAGGUUGAGGCACUAACAAGAGAUGGGGUAGCAAGAGGGAAGCCGCGACUACCCUCAGAGGAUAGAGGACAAGAGGAAGGAGUCUUGCCAGAGCUGUGGUAUUAGGAAGAGAACUCCAGGCAGGGCCAUGGGGCUGGCCAGCAGGGAGGAAGCGGGAAACUCAACACCCACCUCACUCCUUCCCCCCUCCCACUCCGUCAUUGCUGGUGCCUCACAUUUGCUGAGCCAACCAGAUUCAGAGGGUAGAGGAGCCCAGCUGAGGGCCAGGUGGAGAGCAGUGGAGGGGGAGGGGCAGUCAAGGUGGAUUAUCCACCAGGCAGGUAUGGUGUGUGUAUCUUGCAUGGUGGGACCAUUCUGUGGGAUCCCAGCACAGGGCCCUUUUAAAUGCUGAUGGGAGGUGAUGAGAGCUAUCUGGAGGAAGGAAUCUAGGGAUGAGUAAGAGCUUUCCAGGCAGAGGAGAGGCAGACAGCAUUCCUGACAGAGAGCUGCCUGAGCAUGGGGGUUUGGGUGCAAAGCAUGGAGAAUGGAGGGCCUGGUGGAGAGUGUCAGCAUGGGGGUGCAUGUGCAAGAGGAGGGUGAGAAACAGAGGCUCGCUGGGGGCUGGGGGCGCUUGCUGGUGGUCCUAGAGCAGGGAGGGAAGGGGCUGGGAUUAGCUCCAAGUCCCAAGGGCUACCCAUGUCCCUUCCCCCCUCUAGGACUGCCUUUCCCAGCUAGAGCAAUUUUUGAAAAAUUAAUUUUUAAUGACACACGUGAACCUUGAAUAUAUUCUCCUUGUCAAAAAUGAAAGCACUACGGAUUCAUCACUCCUACUGCACUGUCUGCCCCACAGCUGGGGUUUGGUGUGUGACUUCCAGUCUUUGUCUAGUAGCUUUCAACUGGGGCAAUCAUUUGGCAACGUCUAAAAACAUUUUUGAUUGUCACAACUGCAUGUCGGUGCUACUGGCAUCUAGUGGGUAAAGGUCAGGGAUGCUGCUAAACAUCCUGCAAUGACAGGACAGCCUUACAUGAUGAAGAAUUAUCUAGCACAAAAUGUCAGCAGCGCUGAGGUUGAGAAAUUCAAGUCUAGGCUAGGAGUUCUCAACUUCUUUCAUUAUUGCCCUUUUAAAGAAUCUGUCUCUUGGAGUUCCCGUUGUGGCUCAGUGGUUAAUGAAUCUGACUAGGAACCAUGAGGUUGUGGGUUCGGUCCCUGGCCUUGCUCAGUGAGUUAAGGAUCUGGCGGCAUUGCUGUGAGCUGUGGUGUAGGUUGCAGACGCAGCUCGGAUCCCUCAUUGCUGUGGCUCUGAGGUAGGACAGUGGCUGUAGUUCCGAUUAGACCCCUAGCCUGGGAACCUCCAUAUGC
rnacentral:lncRNA from 1 species